GAAUGAAAAAGCCCAAAGCUUUGCAACGCAGAUCACAGUUGUAUUGGGUUGGGUCAAUGAUUUCACGUCAUGGAACGCCAGUAACUUUUGUGGGAUCCAAACAUGUACAAUUCAGAAAGAUAAGCUCUGGACUCCAGACAUUGGCAUUGCUGAAAGCAUCGCGACAGAAUUUGCAUCUAUGGAAAAUUCUUAUGUAAAGAUGUUCAGUGAGGGUCAUGUACUCCUGUCUGAAACUUUAAUUUUGACCACCGCCUGCAAGAUGGACCUGUACAUGUUUCCCUUUGAUUCCCAAACCUGUACUCUGACUCUUCAGUCCGCAUUGC